rnacentral:rRNA from 1 species
AUACGUAGGUGGCAAGCGUUAUCCGGAAUUAUUGGGCGUAAAGAGGGAGCAGGCGGCAGCAAGGGUCUGUGGUGAAAGCCUGAAGCUUAACUUCAGUAAGCCAUAGAAACCAGGCAGCUAGAGUGCAGGAGAGGAUCGUGGAAUUCCAUGUGUAGCGGUGAAAUGCGUAGAUAGAUGGAGGAACACCAGUGGCGAAGGCGUCGAUCGGGCCUGCAACGAACGCUCAGUCCCGAAAGCGUGGGGAGCAAAUGGGAAUAGAUACCCUAGUAGUCCACGCCGUAAACGAUGAGUACUAAGUGUUGGAUGUCAAAGUUCAGUGCUGCAGUUAACGCAAUAAGUACUCCGCCUGAGGAGUACGUUCGCAAGAAUGAAACUCAAAUGAAUUGACGGGG